rnacentral:rRNA from 1 species
UACGUAGGGGGCAAGCGUUGUCCGGAUUUAUUGGGCGUAAAGAGCGUGUAGGCGGUCCGGUAAGUCGGGUGUGAAAGCCCCGGGCUCAACCUGGGAAUUGCAUUCGAGACUGAAUAGCUAGGGUACGGUAGAGGGAAGCGGAAUUUCCGGUGUAGCGGUGAAAUGCGUAGAUAUCGGAAGGAACAUCAGUGGCGAAAGCGGCUUCCUGGACCAGUACCGACGUUCAGGCACGAAAGCGUGGGGAGCAAACAGG